GGAUCCAUCAAACCAAGCGUUUAAUGUUGCAAGUUGGUAAAAAAUAGGGUAAAAUUACAGAUUAACACCCGCACGAUUUUCACUAAGAAAAAAAAAAACUCGGAUUUUUUUUGUGUGUAAAAAUUCCGGGGGGGGGGGUACCCCCUCCCCCUCCGGACCAAUUUCGAACCAAAAUAUGGGAUUUGCAGCAUAUUAAGGAGGUCGGGGUACUUGAUUCCACGCAAAAAAUCCGAGUUUUUUCUUUUGUUUUCUUAGUGAAAAUCGUGCGGGUGUUAAUCUGUAAUUUUACCAAAAAUAGUGUUACUUAAGUCAAAAUUGACCCAUGAAAAUUUCAACAAACUUAAAACCAAUAUUUUCUACCCUAGCGGAUGAUUGAAGAAUUAAAUCAAACGAAGGGAAGCAACUUUUACAAAAAGCGACCAGCUAUGAUAAAAUAUUGACGUCUUGUUCUACUCAGAUACUAAUUGGUUUGUUUUUAUCUGAAAACCCUACUGUAUGUAGGAGUUGAAGCGAAAGUCUGAAAAACUGGAAUUCUUUCGCUGAAAAGCAAAUCUGUCAGAUGUACAAAAUAGUUCGACAACCAAUGUUGUUCCUCUCUAUGUUAUAAUUUUCCUGAAUUAUCCUGUAGGAGCAAAAGGGCGGGAAUAUCAGAAGUCAUUGGAAUUGGAGAAGUUUUCACCUUAGAUGCAUCAUCAAUAUUUAUCAUCUUUU